rnacentral:rRNA from 1 species
UACGGAGGGUGCGAGCGUUGUCCGGAAUUACUGGGCGUAAAGCGUGCGCAGGCGGUUGUGCAAGACCGAUGUGAAAUCCCCGGGCUUAACCUGGGAAUGGCAUUGGUGACUGCACGGCUAGAGUGUGUCAGAGGGGGGUAGAAUUCCACGUGUAGCAGUGAAAUGCGUAGAGAUGUGGAGGAACACCGAUGGCGAAGGCAGCCCCCUGGGUCGACACUGACGCUCAUGCACGAAAGCGUGGGGAGCAAACAGG